rnacentral:lncRNA from 1 species
CCACUGUGUCCGGCCCAGUGAUGGAGCCUGUUUCUAUCUAGACAGUAACCAAAACCCAUGGCCGUUUCCUAAGACUAUCAGUUUGCAAAUGGAGUCCUUGAGCAGUUCAGUAAGGGGAAAACAUUUUAGAGUUUAGGGGCUUUUAUUUUAAAACUUUCAUAUUUUUACUGUGUUAAAUUGAUGACAUAUAUAAUACAUGGUCCUGCAUGUACAGACUUCUGAAAGAUUCAAGUAACCAGAACAAAACAAGUCCCCUUCACCAUCGCCUCCCACACCCACACCCAGCUCCGGGAGGUAACAACAUCAACAAACAGAUGGCUUCCCUCCAGUUCCUUUCAACGCCUUCAUGCUCACAUGUAGUCCUUUAUGUAGGUUGGAUCCUAUUAUACAUUCUGUUCUGUGCCCUCCCUUUUUUACCUAACAAUAUCUCGGAGAUCUAUCUACCUUAUUCUUGUUUAACAACCACAGAGGUUUUCAGAGUAGGGAAAGAUCAUAUUCUAUUUAACCACUCAACUUCUCUGAAGGAUUUGGGCUGUUCAUAAAUUUUCACAACGUUACGGUGAACGUCACAGGACUUACAUGCAGCCGCAUGUGCAAGGAUUUCUGUAGUGCAGACUUCUGGAAAGGUGGAAUUGAUGGAGCAUAGAGCAAAGACACUUUCAGAAGAGGAACGAAGGCCUGGAAGGAAAAGCAUCAGGGGAACGACGCUUACGUCUCUCCUCCUCCCUCCGGUCUCCCACCAGUGCUCCCAUUGGCUGAAGCCAACCAGAAGCCACAGGAAGCCCACUGUCUGUUCAGAUUUCUGACCCUUGGAAAACUGCAGAGCUCAAUGAUUAAAUGAAUGGACUUUGGAGCCAGGUGACCCUGGAUUCCAAUCCUGUCUCCACCACUCCAGGCUCUGAGACCUGGGCCAGUCACUCUGCCCUUCUGGCUUUAGCGUCUCCAUUUGUAAAACAGCACAGAGUGCCAGGCAGGUCAGACUGAAUGACAGACAGAAGGGACUUAGCGUCUUCUAUGCACUGGAUUAUGUUCCCCUAAAAUUCAUAUACGGAAGCCCUAACCCCCAGUGUGAUGGGAUUUGGAGAUGGGGCCUUUGGAAGGUGCUUAUAGCUAGGUGAGGGUAUGAGGGUGGGGCCCUCAUGAUGGGAUUAGCGCCCUUAUAAGAAGAGACACCAAAGAGCUUGCACACAUGUGCUCUCUCUCUCUCUCUCUCUCUCUCUCUCACACACACACACACACACUCUCUCUCUCUCUCCCAUGCACAAAGAAGAGGUCAUGUUGGCCAGGUGCAGUGGCUCAUGCCUGUAAUCCCAGCACUUUAGGAGGCUGAGGCAGGAGGAUCGCUUGUGCCCAGGAGUUCAAGACCAGCCUGGGCAACAUAAUGAGACCUUGUCUCUACAAGAAUUGUUUACAAAAUUAGCUGGGCAUCGUGGUGCAUACCUGUAGUCCCAGCCAUUUGGGAAGCUGGGGUGGGAGGCUCACUUGAGCUCAGGAGGUCAAGGCUGCAGCAAGCUGUGACCAUGCCAUUGCACUCCAGCCUGGGUGACAGAGGAAGACUCUGUUUCAAAAAAAAAAAGAAAAGAAAAAGAAAAGGUGAUAUGGGCACACAACGAGAUGGCCACCACGUGUAAGCCAAAAGAAGAGGCUUCAGGAUGAAACCUACCUUGCCAGCACCUUGAUCUUGGACACCCCAUCCUCCAUAAUUGUGAGAAAUUCUUCUUGGGUUAAGCCACCCAGUCUAUGGUAUUUCAUUAUGGCAGCCUGAGCUAGGGCAGCAUAGCUGCAGGAGCAGUGAUGGCAUGCACUUCUGAAGCCUCUGGUUCAUGUCCAUCAUUAGGUUCGGUCAGGCACCAAUCAGUCAGGGAGCUGCAACCACCCCUGUCUGCACUUCCCCAAGGAGUGACUGACCCUCCAGGGCCCAUCUGCUCCCAGCUCCUCCACCUCAUCUGCCAAUUGUUACCAGACUCCCUGUGCACAGCCCUGAGCUGACGGGGGAUCUUGAACCCAGGUUUGUUCCCGUGUGUGUACCCUGAUCUAGGGGAAGCAUCCAGUGGAAGCUGCUGCUUGGCCUCCAGGCCCCAAAGAUAUGAUACAGAUGCCUGCAGCCUUGCCCACCACUACCACUCAUCUAAGGAAUGUGUCCAGAACCUACAGACUCUGUGUAUGUGUCCAUGAAACAAAAGGCUGAAUUAUUUCCUGAUGUUUCACUUCAGACUGAGGUUUGCUGCAAAAGAUGAAGGGAGACAGAAAGAGAUUCACCCACAGAAGUGAGACUUCAUUUCUGGAGGGGGAGAGGCCAGGGAAUGGGUGACCCUCCAGAAGGAUGAGCUAGAAAAACAGGGUCUCCCAAUAAGCAGGUGUGCAGAGCACAGCAACAGGAAACUCAUGCAGCAGGCAUGAAUGAAUGAAGGGCCUGCUGUUUACCAGUCCCUGCAGGCACUCUGGGAUAUAGACAGGCCACAGGCCAUGGGGGCUUAGUGGUCCACAACCCCAGGUGCAACCCAGCCCCUCCACUUAGCAUCUGCUCGAGGCCAAAAACAGCUGCUGUUAUUUCUGCCCGCAUCCGUUUUCUAUCCCUCUGGGAACCAUACCCCUGUUGUCCUCUGGGGAUCCAUCCCAUUGGUUCACAUGUUCCCAGAGAAGCUGAUAAGUUCCAGGGGAGGAGCCCAUGAUGCCUCUCACCCCAAGCCAAUCAGUAACUCCAACGCUCCCAGCCAUGGUGGGUACAGGCAUGUGACCAGUUCAGAACACUGGUCACAUUCCUGACACGAGCAAAUUCACUGGACCUGAAACCAGAGAGGAAGUAGGAACUAGAACGCCUGUCUCCAUCUGGCCACAAAAUGGAGCCUGAAAUUGAAGUGAACACAACAGAAGCAAGAGCCAGAGAUGAGAAACCAAGGCUUCUCUGGGUCAGCGGUGCCUGAAACAGAUGCAUCCCCAGGCCUCUCCGUUCACUGAGUAAAUGACCUUUUUUUUGUGAGACGGAGUCUCGCUCUGUCGCCCAGGCUGGAGUGCAGUGGCAGCAAUCUCGGCUCACUGCAAGCUCCACCUCCCAGGUUCACACCAUUUUCCUGCCUCAGCCUCCCGAGUAGCUGGGACUAAAGGCACCCGCCACCACGCCUGGCUAAUUGUUUUUUAUAUUUUUUAGUAGAGAUGGGGUUUCACCGUGUUAGCCAGGAUGGUCUCGAUCUCCUGACCUCGUGAUCCACCCGCCUCGGCCUCCCAAAAUGCUGGGAUUACAGGUGUGAGCCACCGUGCCUGGCUGUAAAUGACCUUUUUUAAAAAACAAAACAAAAAAAACUAUUUUCUGUAUAAGCCAGUUUAAAUUUUUAUCACAUACAACAGUUGUAAUACAUGUUCGUACACAAACCAAGUGCAGAUUUCUAAAAAAAAUAGGGUGCGAACAAAAGACAACGGCGUCUCUAGGUUGCACUUGGUUACUUGUGGUAGGUGAGGGAUUUGUUGAUGAGGGGCAGAUUUGUGAUUACUGUUGGAGCUUAUCCAAUGCAGACAAAAGAGCUUCUCAUCUAAGUGGCUUUGUGGAUACCAGAUAGAGCAUGACCUUUUCCCCUUCCUUUUUGAGGGUGCUGCACAAGCUGGUAGAUUGGUCCUUGGGAACCCCAAGGGGAGAUGCCCCCAUGCACCCCCUGAGGGGCCUUUGAGGUUAGAGACCUUCGAUUGCCCCCCACCCCCACCCCUGCAGCUGUCUAGGAUGGCCAUAGGUCCAGGCAGGCUCACUUACCCAGCAUUAACACACCAAACUCACCCGGGAAUGGGAUUCUUAGAUCAAGAGAGGGGCAAAGAAAGAAGAGAAGGUUGGCAGAGUGACAGAAGGAAUUUCAUGUCCAGAUGGGGAGUGGCAGGAAGCAGCUAGAUCUGUUCUUAGUCAAGUAACAGAACUUGGCACCCAUAGGGGCUCAAUAGACUGGUGCUCUCAUACAUACAAAAGAACAAACGAAGGAACGAGUAGACCUCUCAGAGGAGCAGCAUAGAGAUGGCUAUGAUCCAGGAGUUUCUCAAGACUUUGGGAUGCCAUUUGGCAGAGUGUACCCCAAGUUUGUCAUUCAGAUUUUUGCCACAUUUCCAUGCUACUUCACUGUCACUAACUAUAUAUAUCUAUAUAUACACACACAUAUAUGUAUAUAUAUACAUAUAUGUAUACAUGUACGUGUAUAUAUAUAUAUAUAGAGAGAGAGAGAUAUAUAUAUAUAUAGAGAGAGAGAGAGAGAGAGACUUGCUCUGUUGCCCAGGCUAGAGUGCAGUGGUGCAAUUUUGGCUCACUGUAACCUCCGCCUCCUGGAUUCAAGCCAUUCUCCUGCCUCAGCCUCCUGAGUAGCUAGGACUACAUGCCCACACUACCACGAGGGCUAAUUUUUGUAUUUUUAGUAGUGACGGUGUUUCACCAUAUUGGCUAGGAUGGUCUUGAACUCCUGACCUCAAAUGAUCUGCCCAUGUUGGCCUCCCAAAGUGCUGGGAUUACAGGCAUGAGCCACCGUGCCUAGCCCAAUUUUGUUUUUAAUGGAUGAAUGAUCAAAUGCAUGAAUUUUGUGCCUGUUUCCUCUAGGAAAUUUGGUAUGUUUGGAGGACAGGGUGUCUGCCUUCUUCCUGGCUGUAAUCUCUGGUCUUCCUCUACAUCUACUGACAUCUUCUUUCUUCUUUCUUCUUCUUCUUCCUCUUCCUGUUUUUUUUUUUUUUUUUUUUUUUUUUUUUUUUUUUUUUUGACAGAGUCUUGCUCUGUUGCCAGGCUGGAGUGCAGUGGUGUGAUCUCAGCUCACUGCAACUUCUGCCUCCUGGGUUCUGCCUCCUGUCUCAGCCUCCCAAGUAGGUGGGACUACAGGUACGCACCACCAUGCCUGGCUAAUUUUUGUAUUUUUAGUAGAGACGGGGUUUGGCCAUGUUGGCCAAGCUGGUCUUGAACUCCUGACCUCAGGUGAUCUGCCUGCCUUGGCCUCCCAAAGUGCUGGGAUUACAGGCAUGAGCCACCACAUCUGGCCUAUUUUUAUUUAUUUAUUUUAAUUUUGAGACAGCGUCUUGCUCUGUCACUCAGGCUGGAGUGCCGUGGCACAAUCAUGGCCUACUGCAGCUUUGACCUCCUGGGCUCAAAUGAUCCUCCCACCUCAGCCUCCCUAAGUAGCUGGGAUUAUAAGCGUGCACCGCCACACCCAGCUAAUUUUUUAUUUUUUGUAAAGAUGGGGUCUCCCUAUGUUUCCCAGGCUGGUCUUGAACUCUUGGGCUCAAGCAAUCCUCCCAUCUCAGCCUCCCAAAUUGCUGGAAUUACAGGCAUGAUCCACCGCGCCAGGCUGAUUUAUGGUUUCUAAUGGAGCAAAGACACAGAUGACAGAGCAGGAGCACCAUCAUCUCAGACAAACACUGCCACUUUAAGCUCCAGCUCCCUUCUUAGCCUUAUGCAUUUUAAGGAAAUCACUUCCCUUCUAACUACAAGCAGCCAGAAAGAGCAAACAGUGAAACACAGAUAAAACAACUCAGGCACAGAGGGAGGUAGGGGGAAAGUCUCUUGGGUAAAUGCUAAACUUCACCCUCAUACAAUGGGCUCCAGUAAAACAGUGGGCCUUAAUAAGUACAUUUCUUUCCCUUCAGGUGCACUAAAAUAGGGAUGGUAAAGGCAGACUCGGGGGGUAUGUCUGCAGCUGCAGAAAGAUGUAUGGGAACAGACACACAACUCUCUCUCCCGAAUAAGCACAACAAAAAAACACAAAAGCAGUCCGAGCCUGUAAUAAACUCUCCUAACCUGAAUCCUUAAAAACUCUGAGUCUGUAAAAAAGUGUGCCUCUAACCUAACUUGGCCAAACACCCCUCUCAGGUUUGUUUUCUCUAAAAUAAACUUGUCUUAACUGCCAAGCCACCUUUCAUGUUUCUUUCCUCUUUCUUUAAUUCUUACAACUGACACUGUUAACACUACUGUAGUUUGUUGCUACAAUGAUAAUUGAAGGAAAUACUCAGUUGCAGUUAGAGGUUAGUGAAAAGAAAGAUGGACACUUGUCUGUCCCUUGCUUUAAACGUAGGUUUUAUUAUCAUUUAGCUAUGGUGACACCAACAGAUCAGGAGCUGACUGCUGUUGAAAUGAUAGCUUGCUACUCACAGAUCCCAGAGGAGGAGGCACACCACGCCACGCAGGACAACAUGGGGUUUGUCAGGAAGCAAAGCAAACAGGAGGAAAACUGGGCCAGGGCUUUUAUUGUGGUUUUUGCAGGAAGGAAUGGGUGAGACAGGGUACACAGGCUUCGAAUUUGCCAGUUUGAAUAAUUUCAGGGGGUACUAGGGCAUAGGGGCUGUCUCUAGUUGUCUGGAGGUGAUUAGGGCUGGAGAAGAGUGGCCCAGUGUGUAAAAGCCCAAUGCAGCAGGUGGCUGUGGUGUUCGGGCUCUGGCGGUUAGGAGAGUCAUUUACUACCACUAGGAAUUGGCUGGCCCUGCAAGGGGGAGUCUCUCCAGGGCCAGGAACGUCUCAGAUGUCAAAACAUCAGAAACAUGUGAUUAGUACACCCAUCCAAAUUCACAGGCUCCCUCACUUUUUACCCGUGGCCACCAGGGUAAGAACCCUAUCUGAGAAAGCCCCCAGCUGAGAAUGGCAGCAUUAAAACCUGAGAGUCAGAGGUCUGAAACCCAGUGCCUUCCAGGGUCAGGAUGACAUCGGUGAGCCAGGUAUAAAGGACAGCAAGGGGUGGCGACUGUGGGGACCCAGGUGUUCAUGCCUCAUAAAGCCAGCUGCUGUCAGCUCCAGCCAGUGGCUACCCAGUGUUGCCAAAUCUUCUGAGCUUUCAUGAGAAGCCAGAGAUCUAGAUUGUGU